AUUGAACGCUGGCGGCAGGCCUAACACAUGCCAGUCGAACGGUAACAGGAAGAAGCUUGCUUCUUUGCUGACGAGUGGCGGACGGGUGAGUAAUGUCUGGGAAACUGCCUGAUGGAGGGGGAUAACUACUGGAAACGGUAGCUAAUACCGCAUAACGUCGCAAGACCAAAAAGGGGGACCUUCGGGCCUCUUGCCAUCGGAUGUGCCCAGAUGGGAUUAGCUAGUAGGUGGGGUAACGGCUCACCUAGGCGACGAUCCCUAGCUGGUCUGAGAGGAUGACCAGCCACCCUGGAACUGAGACACGGUCCAGACUCCUACGGGGGGCAGCAGUGGGGAAUAUUGCACAAUGGGCGCAAGCCUGAUGCAGCCAUGCCGCGUGUAUGAAGAAGGCCUUCGGGUUGUAAAGUACUUUCAGCGGGGAGGAAGGGAGUAAAGUUAAUACCUUUGCUCAUUGACGUUACCCGCAGAAGAAGCACCGGCUAACUCCGUG
rnacentral:rRNA from 1 species